rnacentral:rRNA from 1 species
GAUGAACGCUGGCGGCGUGUCUAAUACAUGCAAGUCGAGCGAACAGACGAGGAGCUUGCUCCUCUGACGUUAGCGGCUUACGGGUGAGUAACACGUGGAUAACCUACCUAUAAGACUUGGAUAACUUCGGGAAACCGGAGCUAAUACCGGAUAAUAUCUUUAACCGCAUUGUUCAAUAGUUAAAGUCGGUUUUUCUGUCAUUUUUAGAUGGAUCCGCUCCGACUUACCUAGUUGGUAAGGUAACGGCUUACCAAGGCAACGAUGCGUAGCCGACCUGAGAGGGUGAUCGGCCACACUGGAACUGAGACACGAUCCAGACUCCUACGGGAGGCAGCAGUAGGGAAUCUUCCGCAAAGGGCGAAAGCCUGACGGAGCAACGCAGCGUGAGUGAUGAAGGUAUUCGAAUCGUAAAACUCUGUGAUGAGGGAAGAACAAAUGUGUAAGUAACUAUGCACGACUUGACGGUACAUAAUCAGAAAGCCACGGCUAAAUACGUG